GACGUAGGGCGCGAGCGUUGUCCGGAUUUAUUGGGCGUAAAGAGCUCGUAGGCGGCUUGUCGCGUCGUUCGUGAAAAACCCACAGCUCAACUGUGGGGCUUGCGGGUCGAUACGGGGCAGGCUGGAGUUCGGUAGGGGGAGACUGGAAUUCCUGGUGUAGCGGUGAAAUGCGCAGAUAUCAGGAGGAACACCGAUGGCGAAGGCAGGUCUCUGGGCCACUACUGACGCUGAGAAGCGAAAGCCAUGGGGGAGCGAACAGG
rnacentral:rRNA from 1 species